rnacentral:rRNA from 1 species
GUUAGGGGUAAACCUGAGAAACCCGAAAGGUCGAAGGGAGAAAUUCAAUCGCGAUCUGUUGCCGGCGAAUAGAUGUAUGUUUGACGAACAAUGUGGAGAUAGGCGUGUGUACUCUAUCCGCAAGGGUGGGGCUGCACGUUUGUUUUCGGUUGAACGCUGUGUACGUUUAUCGAUCCUGGCAAUGAACGUGUGCAAUUUUCUUCUGGUAGGACGUCGUGAUCCGUUGGGUUGUCGGUCUACGGCGAUACGGUAUUAGGCCCGUUGGUACGCGAUAGGACUUCUGUUCUGUCGAUGUUAUCGAUGGAUUUACCCGAUCUGAUCGACUUGCCCGACGGUAUACAAACGGUUCAAGGUCGCUGGGGCCCUUCGCUUCUUGCGAAGAGUUUCUCAUGCGUUAGAGGCGUCGGCAAGUGCCAUUAUCUUUGAGUCUGUUAAUCGGGGCUUGUACUUGAUUGCGAUUUAAUAAUUGGUACUGUUGGCCGCGUUUAAUUUCUCUGACGGACCUGCCGAGAUAUUUAUAAUCGGUGCCGAUCUACGACGCUACAGCUUUGGGUAAUUUCAGGACCCGUCUUGAAACACGGACCAAGGAGUCUAGCAUGUGCGCAAGUCAUUGGGUUAACAAUUGUGAAACCCAAGGGCGUAAUGAAAGUAAAGUUAUCAGGAAUACAUCAUAUAUGAGGAGAGCUUCUCGUUCUCUUCGUGUGUGUGUGUGUUUUUGAAGAAGGAAGGAUGGAUGGCAUUGUCGUUGUUGUCGAUGAUGUUGUUUCGCAUUUCCGGGGCGUUUCAUAUUCUUGUUUGUCGCGAUAGCAAUACCGAGAUGAAUGAGAAGAGGCGCACCAUGAGCGUACACGCUGGGACCCGAAAGAUGGUGAACUAUGCCUGGUCAGGACGAAGUCAGGGGAAACCCUGAUGGAGGUCCGUAGCGAUUCUGACGUGCAAAUCGAUCGUCGGAACUGGGUAUAGG